rnacentral:rRNA from 1 species
UACGUAGGGUGCAAGCGUUGUCCGGAAUUAUUGGGCGUAAAGAGCUCGUAGGCGGCUUGUCGCGUCGGCUGUGAAAACCCGGAGCUCAACUCCGGGCCUGCAGUCGAUACGGGCGGACUAGAGUUCGGCAGGGGAGACUGGAAUUCCUGGUGUAGCGGUGAAAUGCGCAGAUAUCAGGAGGAACACCGGUGGCGAAGGCGGGUCUCUGGGCUGUAACUGACGCUGAGGAGCGAAAGCAUGGGGAGCGAACAGG